GACGAACGCUGGCGGCGUGCCUAACACAUGCAAGUCGAACGAGGUCCAACCGGUAGCAAUACCGGGGAAGACCUAGUGGCGAACGGGUGAGUAACACGUGAGGAACCUGCCCCGAAGACUGGGAUAACCACCCGAAAGGGUGGCUAAUACCGGAUGCCUUCACCGGACCGCAUGAUCUGGUGAAGAAAUGGAUUCCGCUUCGGGAGGGCCUCGCGGCCUAUCAGCUUGUUGGUGGGGUAAUGGCCCACCAAGGCUUCGACGGGUAGCUGGUCUGAGAGGACGAUCAGCCACACUGGGACUGAGACACGGCCCAGACUCCUACGGGAGGCAGCAGUGGGGAAUCUUGCGCAAUGGGCGAAAGCCUGACGCAGCAACGCCGCGUGGGGGAUGAAGGCUCUCGGGUUGUAAACCCCUUUCAGCAGGGACGAUUAUGACGGUACCUGCAGAAGAAGGCCCGGCCAACUACGUGCCAGCAGCCGCGGUAACACGUAGGGGCCGAAGCGUUGUCCGGAUUUAUU
rnacentral:rRNA from 1 species